ACAUCCAGGCAGAGCGGACAGGCUGUCCAAGAGGGCGUCCAAGGAGCAGAAGUAAGGCUUGUGAGUUGGUUCACGUUUGAAGCUCGGGGAAGGGUUUAAGCGAUGGAGUGCUGGUACGUGCUCAACUGGCUGUGGAGUGGGGACGUGGAGUCUGACCGAGAGUGUUUGCUGACUUCUAUGGUGUAGAUGUUCCCAUGAGGACAAUUUCAAAUUCCCCAAGUGUUCACUGAGCUCAGAGUUAAAAGGAGACGUGCACAGACAGCCGUGGGUGAAAAUGAUGGCUCCUUCCUUUGGACUGGUUUUAUUGAAAGUAUGCUGCUUUUUACACUUAAAGGGCAUUUUAUAAAACAAAACAUUACAAGCUGAUGAGUGGCUCCUCAUACCCCUGGGUUAAGCCAGAGAGUCGUGUGCUUUGAUUCCUGUUAAGACCAUCUGGCUGCUGUGUGGACUUUCUUGAGCCCUUCAAAUCAAAGGUGCUUACCCCACCGUCAUCACAGGGCUAACCGCAUCACUUCCUUCCGUUCCCUUCCCACAUCCUGCCUGCCUUUCCUGCUAGGGUACAAACCACAGCCUUAGGUCUUAAUCUGAUCUCAACAAUGGACUUGAUCUUUUCUCGAGGCUGAUGGAUUCCAGUGCCGAAAGUGACUUCUCUUUAACUUCUCCUGCUAUUAUGUGGAGAAAAUCCAGAGCAGGGAAGAAAACCCCUCCUGACUGUCCACAUUGUUUUGAUUUCCCUCCUGCAAUACAUGGAGAUAUUGGUUUUUGUAGCGCGACCUAGGAUCCUGCCCUACCUCUCUUCACUUUUGCUCCUGAAAUUGUCAGACGCUCGGGAAACUGCAUUCUUAUUAUUAGUCGAUUGCCUCUGUGCUUGGCAUGGCACGCGUGGGGACAGAGAGGUCUAUUUGUUUUUCAUUUCCAUGUCUAAUUUAAAGAGGGGGUAAAAAGUCUCACCAUCCUUAAAAUUCUGAAAUUACUUUGGUCUUUGUUGGUCAGCAAAUAAAUUAAUUUUCACUUGAAGAAACA
rnacentral:lncRNA from 1 species